GUAGCAAUAUUGUCUCAGUGGCGAACGGGUGAGUAACGCGUUGGUGACCUGCCCCGAAGAGGGGGAUAACAGUCCGAAAGGAUUGCUAAUACCCCAUGUGGUCAAGAGGAUUAGAUGCCUUAUGACUAAACGGAGAAAUUCGCUUCGGGAGGGGCCUGCGUCCCAUCAGCUAGUUGGUAGGGUAAUAGCCUACCAAGGCGAUGACGGGUAGGGGACCUGAGAGGGUGGCCCCCCACAAUGGAACUGAAACACGGUCCAUACACCUACGGGUGGCAGCAGUAGGGAAUAUUGGUAAUCUGGGAAACCGGGAACCAGCAACGCCGCGUGCGCGAUGAAGGCCUUCGGGUUGUAAAGCGCUUUUUGAGAGGAUGAGGAAGGACAGUACUCUUAGAAUAAGCCUCGGCUAACUACGUGCCAGCAGCCGCGGUAAAACGUAGGAGGCGAGCGUUAUCCGGAUUUACUGGGCGUAAAGCGUGUGUAGGCGGUUUGAUAAGUUGGAUGUGAAAGCUCCUGGCUUAACUGGGAGAGGUCGUUCAAAACUAUCAGACUUGAGAGUGGUAGAGGGAGGUGGAAUUCCGCAUGUAGUGGUGAAAUGCGUAGAUAUGCGGAGGAACACCAGUGGCGAAAGCGGCCUCCUGGCCCAUUUCUGACGCUCAGACACGAAAGCUAAGGUAGCAAACGGGAUUAGAGACCCCGGUAGUCUUAGCUGUAAACGAUGUGAACUUAGUGUCGGUGGGGUUAAAUCCAUCGGUACUGAAGCUAACGCGAUAAGUUCACCGCCUGAGGACUACGGCCGCAAGGUUAAAACUCAAAGGAAUUGACGGGGCCCCGCACAAGCAGCGGAACCGUGUGGUUUAAUUCGAUGC
rnacentral:rRNA from 1 species